CAGCUGGAGAGUUACUGACAGAUCAGAGCCUUUGGUGAAGUCCAGCCCCCUGGUGCUGCAGGCAAUACAAGAAUAAACAGGAGUUAUCCAAAGUCCUGAAAUGGCUCAGAGGGAAAAUAGCAGGAUACGGUCCAGAAGAACCACAGUUCAAAUCCCCUAUCGGGUGCUUCCGGAGCGACCACGUCUGGCAGACUGGAUGUCACGGCGUGAACCGUGACA